rnacentral:tRNA from 1 species
UCCCAGAUGGCUCAGUGGUAAAGAAUCCGCUUGCCAAGCAGGAGAUGUAGGUUCGAUUCCUGGGUUGGGAA